CAGCAAGUUGUUACGCAUGUGAUUCAGCCAAAGAUCUUCAAAGAAGCCUUGUUAAGAUAAAACAUCACAAUGCCUGGGUCGACAUUUGGUUUUAUUUGUCCCUUCUUACCAUUUUGUCAAUGAGUUGUUUUUGCCUGGAUGUCAAAUUAUUACUAAUGGACUUUCAGUUGUCAAGUACAAUGUCAAACAGCAGAGAUAUGAAGCUGCCAGAGAGGAACUUGGUAAAAUCCUACACACUUUGCAGGAUUUCUACAGUCAUAGUAACUGAAUUGAAAUGGGAAAGAGAGAACCUUAUUCCAACCUCAUUAAACCAGACACCCAAAUUAACAACAUAGCAGAUUAUGGCCCACUUAGAAGAACAACUGAUCCUAAUGUCUUUAAACAACAACUCAAUGCACGUACAGCUACUGGUGGAGGAGAUGCUCCUGAAGUGUCUCUCUCAGGACUCCAGGUAUGAUGCAGUAAUUUCACACCCUGUUGCUAUGUAACUAUCAUGUUACUGAUAUAAGAUUUUUAAUUCACUUAAUGAUUCUUUGAUUAAUUUCUAUUAUGCAU